CCGGCGCACGGGUGAGUAACACGUAUCCAACUUGCCGUCUACUCUUGGCCAGCCUUCUGAAAGGAAGAUUAAUCCAGGAUGGGAUCAUGAGUUCACAUGUCCGCAUGAUUAAAGGUAUUUUCCGGUAGACGAUGGGGAUGCGUUCCAUUAGAUAGUAGGCGGGGUAACGGCCCACCUAGUCUUCGAUGGAUAGGGGUUCUGAGAGGAAGGUCCCCCACAUUGGAACUGAGACACGGUCCAA
rnacentral:rRNA from 1 species